rnacentral:tRNA from 1 species
CUUUUAAGGGAGACCUACCCACUCAAUGUACCCAGAGCAAAUUCAAGUUGUAAGCAGGUCAUGAGUUGGUCAUCCCAGGUCGGUCGUAGGGUAGUAGUAAAUCUUUCAAACUAUAAAAUGGUUCGGGUUAUGGGCUAUUAGCUCAGGUGGUUAGAGCGCACCCCUGAUAAGGGUGAGGUCCCUGGUUCGAGUCCAGGAUGGCCCACCUGAAGCAAUUAAAAAUUAGAAAUUAAAAAUUAAAAAUGGAGAGGAUUCGAUUUUUAGUUUUAAAUUUUUCAUUUUUAAUUCUUUAGCGGGGGUUUAGCUCAGUUGGUAGAGCGCCUGCUUUGGAAGCAGGAUGUCAGGAGUUCGAGUCUCCUAACCUCCACCUAUACAUACGAGAUAUAUGAAUAGAGUCUAGCACCUGAAUCGAAAGACUCAGUCUGCUGGGUUUUCAACCAGCCAGAACCUUGAAAACUGCAUAGAGAAGCGAAUGUAUGGUAGUCAGUGAAGAGUGAACAGUGAACAGUAAUGAAAAAACUGAGAACUGAUAACUAAACACUGAACAGACACCAAUGUUUUGUGUAGAGAAGU